UCUAACAAAACAUAUCAGUGUAUUUUACUUUAUAUGUUUUCAUUAUUAAUAAAAAGUAGUGUACUUUAUACCUACCUUGGGCCUCCCUGAUUGUUUUUAGAAGAUUUUAUCAAUAGGAUUCUCUCUUCCAUAUCCUUGGGGAUUAUACCUCUAGUCCUUAGAGGUGGCCAGGCUUGACUUUCUAACAAAAGCAAGAAUGGUCAAAGGACAGGCUGAGGCCAAGAGAUACAAAAAGACUACAAGACCGACAAAGGAGUACAGAAAUCAUGUUAGUUGAUAAACAAGCUAAGGUUAAAAUUCCAGAACAAACAAAUGCAUUCUCAUAGUUCCAUAACUAUGAGAAUGCAUUUAUACUGUAUUUGUUCAUUCUGGAAUUGUGACCUUGGCAUGUUUAUUGACAAUACUAAGGGGGUUAUUUUACAUUUUUCUUCUUCCAGUCUGAAAACCACCAUCAUUACUAGGGAUGGAAGAAGGUAGUUGUGGUAGGUUCAUACUGCUGAUAUGGGGAUUUGCCACUCUUUGCCAAGCACUAAGCGGGAAAGGUGGUGCUAUGAUUGUAACUGCUGAGUGAGGGUGUAUAUCACUAAGAGUGUACAACAGGUUACAAAAAACUGAGGGCAAACGAAGAUUCUUUCUCCGAGUUGGUAGUUUUGUAUUAUGCUUGUUUUAAAGUGUACUAGGCCUAACACAGUGCUUUUUCCUCUCCUUUAAUCUACUCAACAGACCUCUUCUUAACAAAACAACCCCC